rnacentral:rRNA from 1 species
AGUGGGGAAUAUUGGACAAUGGGCGCAAGCCUGAUCCAGCCAUGCCGCGUGAGUGAUGAAGGCCUUAGGGUUGUAAAGCUCUUUCAGUGGGGAAGAUAAUGACGGUACCCACAGAAGAAGCCCCGGCUAACUUCGUGCCAGCAGCCGCGGUAAUACGAAGGGGGCUAGCGUUGUUCGGAUUUACUGGGCGUAAAGCGCACGUAGGCGGAUCGUUAAGUCAGGGGUGAAAUCCUGGAGCUCAACUCCAGAACUGCCUUUGAUACUGGCGAUCUCGAGUCCGGAAGAGGUGAGUGGAACUCCUAGUGUAGAGGUGGAAUUCGUAGAUAUUAGGAAGAACACCAGUGGCGAAGGCGGCUCACUGGUCCGGUACUGACGCUGAGGUGCGAAAGCGUGGGGAGCAAA